rnacentral:rRNA from 1 species
ACGGGGGAUGCAAGCGUUAUCCGGAUUUAUUGGGUUUAAAGGGUGCGUAGGCGGUUUGAUAAGUCAGCGGUGAAAUAUUUCAGCUUAACUGAAAGGGUGCCGUUGAUACUGUCAGGCUUGAAUAUGGUUGCUGGGGGUGGAAUGUGUGGUGUAGCAGUGAAAUGCGUAGAUAUGACGAGGAACACCGAUUGCGAAGGCAGCUCACAGGGCCAUUAUUGACGCUGAUGCACGAAAGUGUGGGGAGCAAACAG